rnacentral:rRNA from 1 species
AAGACCCCAAUGCGUCGCGUAUGCUGCGUCUCCAACGCGACCCCAGGUCAGGCGGGGUUACCCGCUGAGUUUAAGCAUAUCAUAAG